rnacentral:rRNA from 1 species
UGUAGCUAAUACCGCGUAAUAUCNANAGAUUAAAGUGUGGGACCUUCNGGCCACAUGCCAUAAGAUGAGCCCAAGUGGGAUUAGGUAGUUGGUGAGGUAAAGGCUCACCAAGCCGACGAUCUCUAGCUGGUCUGAGGGGAUGACCAGCCACACUGGGACUGAGACACGGCCCAGACUCCUACGGGAGGCAGCAGUGGGGAAUAUUGCGCAAUGGGGGCAACCCUGACGCANCCAUGCCGCGUGAAUGAAGAAGGCCUUCGGGUUGUAAAGUUCUUUCGGUAGCGAGGAAGGCAUUUAGUUUAAUAGACUAGAUGAUUGACGUUAACUACAGAAGAAGCACCGGCUAACUCCGUGCCAGCAGCCGCGGUAAUACGGAGGGUGCGAGCGUUAAUCGGAAUAACUGGGCGUAAAGGGCACGCANGCGGNGACUUAAGUUGAGGUGUGAAAGCCCCGGGCUUAACCUGGGAAUUGCAUUUCAUACUGNGUCGCUANANUACUUUANGGAGGGGGUANAAUUCC